rnacentral:lncRNA from 1 species
CAGGGGAUUGUGGGAGGCAGAGGGGAUUGUGGGAGUCACUGAAGACUGAGGGAGGCGCAGAGGGCCACUCGAUGCCACGCCCCCGGCACAGAGAAUUGUGGGAGGCACAGGGGAUCCUGGGAGGCAUGGGGGAUUGUGGGAGUUACACAGGGCUGAGCACCUGCUGAGGAAUGUGGCAGCCCUUCGAUGUCUACUUGCACUUCAAUAUGGACUAAUUGGUCAUAGUUGCGGCAGUGAAACAGAAAUGCGAAAAGACCAGGCAGCAAAUCUGGAUAAAUUCCCAAAGAAGAGGAGCGAGGUAGGAAGAGAUGACUGGGGGCCAGGGAACUGGAGAACAUUCCAGAUCAUCCCCUCCUCAGGCUUGAGGCACUGGUGACCCACUGAGGCAAAACAUACCUGAAUUUCAACCUAGAAGUUCAAGGUGAUCAUUGUAUGUAAACAACAGGCUCAAACAUCCUCCAAGGUGAUUGUGUCUAUUUGGG